UUUUGUUUCAAAAUUUAAUUUUACUUUAUUAAAAACACAUAUUCUUUCAACUUCACACAAUACAGAGGUGUAACAUUUUUAGAAAGUUAAUAGCGUUCUUCAGGUCCUUGAAUCCCAUAUCCCUCAGGUAGCUAAAGUUAACGGGAUGGGUGAGGAAAGACGUUUUCUCUUCCUUUCCCUUCCUACCCACCUCAAAAACUACUGACUGGCCAGCAGAGAUCUUAUCUCAGCAAGUAUCAGAUACUGUCUGCAUCCCUACAGUGAUUAUUCUUUUCAACAGCAGUUUCUUCCAGCAGCAACACAUUUCUCCAGUUCUUUUCUCUCAAGUAUUGUCCUCUGAAGGACUUUUGAGUUUCACCAAUGUUGUCUCUCCUGGGUGUGCUCUGAGAAGCUCUGACAGUGGGCUGGAGGGUGGGUGGAAAUGUUCCCUGCUCAUUUUCUUCCUCAAGCUGGUACAAUGGACAUGCAUUAACGAGAGCAUCUCCGAACUCUACUUUGGUACCACAACAAAGGUACAAUUUUUUGGCAGACAGUUCACUGAAAAGAAAAUAUAAAAAGCAAAAUAUGCAAGUAAAAUAAGGUGAAAAGGGGUACAGGCUUAGAAUCAGAAGGAUCAAUUCCAAAAAAAGGAUACAGGCUUAGAAUCAGAAGGACCCAGUUCAAUUAUACUGACUAUUCAGGAUGAGAUUUGGGCAAAUCACUUAAACUCACUAUAGCUCAGAUUUGAGGUCAAUAAAAUGUGAAUGGAAGUAACUACCUUGAAAAGUUUUUAUGCUGUCUAAAUGAGAUAUUCAGUUCUUAAAAAUGUCUUAUCUCUUUAGUCUUAUCUCUUUUCCAAUUAUACUGUUUCCUAAAAUAAUUAGCAUGCCUUUUUUUUUUUUUUUUGAGACAGAGUCUCACUGUGUCGCCCAGGCUAGAGUGCAAUGGCACAGUCUUGGCUCACUGAAACCUCUGCCUCCUGGGUUACAGCAAUUCUCCUGCCUCAGCCUCCUGAGUAGCUGGGAUUUCAGGUGCGUACCACCACGCCCCAUUAAUUUUUGUAUUUUUAGUAGAGACCGGGUUUCACCAUGUUGACCAGGCUAGUUUCAAACUCCUGACCUUAGGUAAUCUGCCCGCCUUGGCCUCUUAAAGUGCGAGGUGGCAUGCGCCACCACACCCGGCCAGCAUACCAUUUUUUUUUAACAUUGUAUAGUGACAUGAAGCUGGUGUCAUUAAGGAGAAACAAAGCAAUAGUGACAUCACAUUUAUAAUAACAUUUAAUACUAGAUGCUUGACAAUCAAUUUCUGAAUUUUAUCAGCAAAGUUGGAGUCAGAAUUACCUGGCUCCACCACCUCUUAUAUUUAUCAGUGAAGGCCUUAACUCUUUCCUUGAUCAAAAUUUAAUCACAGUCUGAAGGAAUAUUGUACAGAUUGAACUUCAUACUAAAAGUACCCAGUGCAUUAAGCCAAUGAGAUGCAAACCUUAUAAAAUUCCAUUAAAAUAAAAGUACUCAUAAAAUCAAGAAACCAUUGGUGAGCCAACCAUUGGUGGUGUGAAAACACCACCAUGGAGAAGUCAAACUUAUUUUCAGGGAAGAAAUUGAAAUUUACACACAGAAUUGGGGAUUUCAGACUUCAUCUCAGAGUUGGUCUGCCUCAGAGGAAAAUUUGUCAUAUGCUCAUUCACCUGAAGAAAAAUCUGUGCCUUCCUUACUUAGCAAGGCAGAAGGAACUUAACUAAGGUCAACUUAAUUAAGUGUAACUCUUAAUUCUAUAAGUUCAACAAGUGGUAAGAACCAUAGAGAUAUGCCAAGACCAUUUCCUGGAGAGCUCAACCGGCAUGAGGCUCUCCAGUCACACCCAUAUGUGCACCCACAUGAACUCAUGCCCAAGUCAGGAAAAGUGCCUAUUGUCUGGCCUGGUGGUCUUAUAUGUGGCUAUAAGGGAAAAGAUGGUUAGAAAAGAAAAAGAAACAGUCUGACAAAUAAUUGCUGUAUUAUGCUUCUAAAAAGGAUCCUUAAUAUAAGACAAAAAAAGGGAACUCGAAGUUUGUACUUAUGUAGUUGGGGUUUUGUUUGGUUGUUUGGUUUGGUUGGUUGGUUUUAAUUCAAUGUCUCAGGUAAAACUGACAUACCAACAGAAAAUAAGGUCAGUAGCACGGGAGACUGAAAUUAAAUGUGUGUGUGUGUACAGCCAUGAAUGUGCUGCUUUCUUCUGUUAGACCCUUGAUCGUCACCCCCAACACCAUGUUCAGUUAAGGAUCCUGGCACCUAAAUUUGUAUUUGCACAGCCUUCAAAAGGUAUUUCUUUAUUAUGCUUCUCUUUUAGGGGAUGAUAUCUAAAAUAUUAAUAGUGUAAAAAAAAUAGGCAUAAAAUUAAAAAUGAUAAUGUCUCUCUGUAAUAAAAAAUACUUGCCUUAUCCCUGAGUUUUUUUUAAUAAUUCCCAUUUUUAAUUAUUUGUCAUAGCUGGCUUAUCAUUUAGGAAUUUUAGCCAAAAUAAAACCUAUUUAACUAAAUUUUCCAAUAAAACCCUAUGUUAUAAAAAUUAUUUACACACCAGAAUUUUUUGACAUGACUGUUCUGUUCUGUGAAAAUCAUUUUGCCAGGUUAUUCCAGUCUCUAGUUUGUUCGCCGCUAUGUAACCAGCAACUAGUAAAGUGCCUAGCAUGGAGUUUUCUUCAACUAAAUGAAUAAAUAAAUGUAUGAGGGUUCACGACAGUAACCAAAGUAUAUGCUCUAGGUUUGGACUCUCACUCCCAGGAUUGUGGAAACUCUCCCCUUGACAUAUUUCAGAAGUCUCCUACGGCUUCUCACAUGAGUGUCCAUAUUGCUCUGCCUUCCUUCCUGUUACAAUAGAAGAACUGUUGAUGCUCCCAGUGAAGACCAACCUUGACCCUUCUGCUCUAGAUCCCAUUGUCUCUGACCUUGCUCUCCUGCAUCAAUAAGUUUGCUCUCUUGAUUGGGUAAUUCCUAUCGUAUAUAAUAACAACAUACUGUAAGUUUUCUCGUCUAAAUGAAUAAAAAAUAAAUACUUCUAACUGCUUUCUUAACUUCUAUUGCUCCAUUUCUCCGAAUAGAAAAAUUCUUUGCGUGGUCUGUCUGUCACUGAUUGAGGGCUACAAUAGACCCACCUCCUAUUAUCUUCUCCCCACCCCUUCCCACGCCUGCUGACACUACUGCAUGACUUCCUUAACCCUAGGAAUAGAGAGGUCAUUCCUAAUGUGUGAAAAGUUCUACCUCUCUUUCCUUCUCUCUCAUGCUUUAUGUGUCGUGCUCUGCUGUUAGUACAACCAUGAGCUACUUCUACUCCAGAGGCUGACUCUUUGGCCCCCCAGGUUCCUAAGCAACUGACCUGUUGAUGAUCUGGUCCCCUGCUCUUUACCCUGGGCUCUCCUUCCACUGCCCAUCUCUCUUUACUUUGUGUGAACUCCAGCAGUACCCCCCACAAAGUGUGAAUAUCCCCCUCACACUGCACUCUGCUCAAACAGCCUUAUCAUGUGCUCCAUAUAUCUAAAAUAUUUGGGUGAAAUUGAUAUUGUUUUGCUUACAUAUUUUUCUUUAUAGCUUUGUAAAAUGUUUUUUUUUUUAGGGAAUAGACAAAUCUGAAGUAUAAUCUGUUUAGCCCACACUGUUGAAUUAAAAAUUAUUGUUGCUUCCCUUUUACAUUGGCUCGUCCUUCUUGCAUCAAGCUUAUAUAUCAUGUUUUUCCUGAAGAUUUACCUUCACAAGAGUAGACCUGACCUUUAUGGACAUAGACCUCAGGGCCUCCCCUAUAUGUGCUUAAACACAUGUAAUUUUCAGGUUAUUCAUGGGCUGAGCUUGAAGACUAUAUGUUCCUGUUCAUACAUGUCUUAGAAUUGUCAAACAAAUGUUAAUACAUCUCACUGAACAAAAAAAGUGAAAUUAUAAUUUUUGUGAAGUAUCUAGUGUUAUUUCCAUGACUUAAGAGUAAAAAGAUCAAAUGGAAAAAAAAUGAAGGAAGAAAGAGAAAUGAGGGUAAUCCAAUGUUAAUCAUUUCCUGUCAUCCCAACAUCCUACAAAGUCACACCCUGUCUAGUUCCUUAGCAUCAGAGUCAUCAGAGGGCCAAUGUUUCUCAAAAUUUUCUAGAUUUCCUUUCAUGUAUUACAUAAGGUCUCUUACAGGCCUUUAAUAUUAUAUUAAAUUCAAAAUUAAUCAAAUGUCAUGAAUAAAGAUAAAUCAAAACAAUGAAAUGAACAAUCACUUUAUUUUCAAACUAUUAUCUAUCGGCAUGACCUGAGACUAUUGUGGACAUCAGCUGUCCAUCAUUGUAUCUGAGUCUGCGUAGCAGAGCAUUGUCCUUUUCUGAGCUUCUCUACAUUCUGUGUAUGCACAACAACCAGAAAGAGAGAUACUUAUAGGUUGGGAGUGAGGAAAGCUAUAGGAGUUCAUGUUUUAGUAGAUAGAGCACGAUAGAGACAGAGUAGCCAAACAGUAGUAUUGACCAUAAUACCAAAUAGAUACAGAGGAAUGGGUGUCAAAGAACAUUCAUGCAUUUUUAUUUGCAGGCUUAGUGUGAGGGCAAUGUGAUGUCACAUGAUGAUGUGGUCAUGGUGCUAUAGUGAGAACAACGCGAUGACGGCACAAGCCUUGAGCACAUCCCUUCCCUGCUUUUCAGGGAAUUCACCAGGCACGCCAGGUAUAUGAAGUCUGCUCUCUCAUAACUCACAAACCACUGCCAAUACUGCAGGGCUUUACCCCAAAUGGGUCCUAUUCAUCUACGCACCCUGCCUCAUUUCACCUGUCCUGGGUAAAAUCUUGUCCUCUGAGAGAGUUUUACCCAGGAAAGGUGAAGAGAUGUUUGCUGACAGAGUUGUUUGCUUUAGAAAUAAAAUCUAAAUAAAAUAAGACAUUUUAAAUAACAUGUAGAAGCAGGAGCAGAGUAGGUAUGAUUCAAAAUAAAUACUAAAUGAUUAAUUGGACAAGACACACAGUAACAAAUGAAGUGAGAAAGCAUUACAGUGAUGGAAAUAUUAGACCAAUAAAUUCUGUAGAGUGAAUCAUCAUAUCACGUAAAGUGAAUACAAUCACUGAUGUAGCAGGAUAAGGAACUAUUACAUUGCACUGAUAUUAGAUCAAAUCUCGGCUCUGCCAAUUAUUUUAACUUUAGACAUGCAAUUUUGCCUUUUCGUACCAAUGUUUUUCAUCUUAAAUUAAACUAAUUCCUACUUUGUAUAGUGUUGCAUGUUUAAGUAAGGUGAUAUAUUUGAAAGCACCAGACAGAUUCAAACUACAAUCACUGUUGUUGCUGUCGCUGUUGUUCAUUUCACUUUUACUAUUUAUAUCCAAUUAUCAUAUUCCAGAACCCGAAACAAAUAUUGAAGGCAGUUUCCAAAGUAACCACAUAUGCUAGUUGCACAACUCUGUGAGUAUACUAAAAAUUACUGAAUUGUACACUUUAAAUAGGUGAAUUGUGUGAUAUGCAUAUCACAAUAAAGCUGUUGUAUACAUACAUGCAUGAAUUACACAUUUACAUGCCCAUACACACACAUAUACAUACACUUCUAUGUUUAUAACUCAAUUAUCCAGAAGUAAACACUGAGGGAUCCAGAAGCAGUCUCAAUACCUUUUCAGCAUGUUAAUGAUGAGAUUUUCAGGAGCAAGAAGAUCAACCUGGGUCAUAAGGACAGGCUACAAGUUUGAAAGGAAUUUAUCCUCCAAAUAAACUGAAGCAGCCACUAUCCACAUCAAGUCAUAAAAACCAUCUGUUCUCCCAGGCAGUUGUAUAGCUCCUCUGCCUCCUUCAUUAUUAUGAUCCAUUCUUCUCACAAUGUAGUCCACCUCUGGCAGCAUUGAAGGGUCCUUGGAAUGGUAUCUGAUUAAAGUUGAACCAAUCUAGAACCUUUUUGCCAAGGUUUUUCCCAGUAACAGGUAAAAGUUUCCGGGUAAAGUUGUGAAUGUACUGUUUUGCUGUUGAUCAUUAUACAUAAAAGCAUAAACAUUGCAGCUGAAAUAACAAUAGCUAGGUCAGCACCCCAAGUAGUUCUUUUUGUCACUUCUCUUAAAUUCACUUUUUCACCAACUGCUAUGACCAAAUUUUUCUUGAGUUCCUAUCUUUUAGUCUUAUAAAUGUAGUAUUGCCAUGAUUAUUAUUUAGGAUUUCCAGGGCUGCAAGAAUCUAAUGUAAAAGAAACUA
rnacentral:lncRNA from 10 species